UACGUAGGAGACAAGCGUUGUCCGGAAUUACUGGGUGUAAAGCGCGUGUAGGUGGUAGGCCAAGUCUGCUGUGAAAUCGCCCGGCUUAACUGGGCGCGGUCGGUGGAAACUGGUCAACUGGAGGACGGUAGAGGCGAGUGGAAUUCCCGGUGUAGUGGUGAAAUGCGUAGAGAUCGGGAGGAACACCAGUGGCGAAGGCGGCUCGCUGGGCCGGUCCUGACACUGAGACGCGAAGGCGUGGGGAGCAAACAGG
rnacentral:rRNA from 1 species